UGGAUUUAAGGGCCAUUGGGCCGGAUGGUGAGGUUAGUAGUAUGAGGGUGCUAAGUGAGUAAGCCCAUUACUAACCAUUUUAUGUUUUCAUAAAAUAAGGGAAAUAUGGAAAAAAGAGUCAGUACGUGAAAAAUGAAAAGUUGGAGAGAAAAGGAAGAACACGUGAAAGAACAAGAGAAGAGAAGAGGAGCAAGGAGGAGGAAAACCCCAAAGCUCAAGGAGAAUCAAGAAACUAAUUCCAGAUUGAAGUAGCGGCCUAAGCGAUCGGUGAGGAUGACUCGUAGAGUUUAUCCAGUUAUGUUGGGUCGUGUCGGUCAUGCUCUGAUCUUGUAACACUGGGGGACGAUAGUCUUAGAGUUUACUAGUGAUACACUAUUUUGCCAUUAUUGUAUAAUGUACCGUUGAUUUUAUCGGAAAUGUUUUAUAACAUUGUUGAAUGAGUUUCCGCUGUGCUGAACAUGUAUUUUGAUAUUUUGGAUUAUUCUUAAUAAAGCAUGACAAACGACUUGGAGUUUUGUUUAUUUUA